rnacentral:rRNA from 1 species
CCUACGGGAGGCAGCAGUGGGGAAUCUUGCACAAUGGGGGAAACCCUGAUGCAGCGACGCCGCGUGAGCGAUGAAGCCCUUCGGGGUGUAAAGCUCUUUCACCCGCGACGAUGAUGACGGUAGCGGGAGAAGAAGCCCCGGCUAACUCCGUGCCAGCAGCCGCGGUAAUA